CUCCUCUUGAAGAAGCAUCACUUAGUGCAAGAGCCACAGGACGGGGAAGAGCAGCGAGCAAGUCGGCAGUAGCUGCUUCAAAAGAUCCAGCCCCAGAGGGGCCCAGCCAGGAGGCAGGCUCUUCCAUGAUCUGUCCCCCCAGCGAGUCAGAAGCUCCAGAAACAUCCCUCUUCUGGGUAUCUGCCUCCAGAGAAGUCUGUCAUCCGUGCUCCCUACCACCUUUGGAACACCCACCGCGUCCCUUCGUCAGCUCUACCAAGCGCACGGCCAGUGAGGCAGAAGCCGCUGGGCAGUAGCCAGAGCUGGAAUUUUCCCUGGCCUUCAUCGUGCUGAAAUCCACCACCGGGGACACCUGGUGUUAUUCGGAUUUGCUUUUCACAUCACCCGUUUGUGCUCUUGGUUUACUUGGGAAACCUAAACUACAGCAAUAUGUAUUCCCACUACAUUUUCAUCAUCAUCCUCUGUGUCACCUCCAAAAUGUGUGCUUCUCCACCGUCAACUGCUUCCAGAAUCUAGAUUCUAUACUUAUUCAAAAUACAUGAUGACUAUCUCCUAUAUCUCAGGGUAAAAUUACCUUCAAUCCUUUUUUGGGAGAUUAGAAUGCAUCCUUAAACAAAUAUGCACACCCACGGUAGUGAGUGCAUGUAUGUGUGAGCAUGUGUGAGAUGUGGUGACUAGGAAAGGAAGCAAUGGGGGGUAAUUCCUAAGUUUAAAAUAAUUAGUGUGCAUGUAAAUAUAGAGACUAGCCCAAAUUAUCAUCGUAUCUAUAAAAAAGUUAUGAGUGAGGCAGUGAGGCUCUGAUGUCAGGGCUUUACGGACCAUGUUGACCCUGAGAACAGUGGGGAUCUCUUUCAGAUCCUGAGAACUGAGUUUGUUUUUAACUAUAAGGAGUAGCUACCUGUGCAGUAGAAUUUGGGGAAUUCCACAUGAUGACCUACCUCAUGGUGGCACUGUGAGACAUGGCCAUCACGGAGAAAAUAAAAUGUAUUCACCCCCAAUUUAUAAAGCGUGA
rnacentral:lncRNA from 1 species